AGCAGCCGCGGUAAUUCCAGCUCCAAUAACGUAUAUUAAAGUUGUUGCAGUUAAAAAGCUCGUAGUUGAAUUUCGGGGUUAGUAGGUUGGUCAUGCCUCUGGUAUGCACUGGUCUCACUGAUUCCUCCUUCCUGAUGAGCCGUAAUGCCAUUAAUUUGGUGUUGCGGGGAAUUUGGACUGUUACUUUGAAAAAUUAGAGUGUUUAAAGCAAGCUAACGCUUGAAUACAUUAGCAUGGAAUAAUGAAAUAGGACGUUCGAUCCUAUUUUGUUGGUUUCUAGGAUUGACGUAAUGAUUAAUAGGGAUAGUUGGGGGCAUUAGUAUUCAAUUGUCAGAGGUGAAAUUCUUGGAUUUAUUGAAGACUAACUACUGCGAAAGCAUUUGCCAAGGAUGUUUUCAUUAAUCAAGAACGAAAGUUAGGGGAUCGAAGACGAUCAGAUACCGUCGUAGU
rnacentral:rRNA from 1 species